rnacentral:rRNA from 1 species
UACGUAGGGUGCGAGCGUUAAUCGGAAUUACUGGGCGUAAAGCGUGCGCAGGCGGUUCUGCAAGUCAGAUGUGAAAUCCCCGGGCUUAACCUGGGAACUGCGUUUGAAACUACGGAGCUAGAGUGCGGCAGAGGGGGGUGGAAUUCCACGUGUAGCAGUGGAAUGCGUAGAGAUCGGGAAGAACAUCAGUGGCGAAGGCGGCCUGCUGGGCUGUUGCUGACGCUGAGGCGCGACAGCGUGGGGAGCAAACAGG